GAUGAGGAACGUAGCGAAAUGCGAUACUUGGUGUGAAUUGCAGAAUCCCGUGAACCAUCGAGUCUUUGAACGCAAGUUGCGCCCGAAGCCACUAGGCCGAGGGCACGCCUGCCUGGGCGUCACACGCCGUUGCCCCCCCAUCUACUCCUUCGGGAUUGCGGGGGGGCGGAUGAUGGCCUCCUGUGCGCCUAGCCGCGCGGUUGGCAUAAAUACCAAGUCCUCGGCGACGCACGCCACGACAAUCGGUGGUUGCGAAACCUCGGUUGCCCGUCGUGUGCGUUCGUCGCGCAUCGAGGGCUCGAAAAAAUGCUCGGCUCCGGCUGGGCUUUCAACGCGACCCCAGGUCAGGCGGGGUUACCCGCUGAAUUUAAGCAUAUCAAUAAGCGGAGGA
rnacentral:misc_RNA from 1 species